ACUCGCCGAGGGGGAGGGGCUGGAAGAUGGCGGCGGACGCACACCCACCCGACCGCGACAGAGCUUAGGCCCCUAGCCCGCGCCGCCGCCCGCUGCUCGCAGCCACUGUGGGCAGCCCUGCUCUGUCCCGCGUUGCUGGUAGAGCCGCCCCGCGGAGGCGUGGGACCAGGGUGGCGUCCGCAUCCCCUGCCAGCGCGCCUUCGCCCGGGUCCGUCCAGGGAGCACCUGUGCACGGCCAUAUUGGAUUCUGUGCCCCAGUCACUGCCUCAGCGCGGCGGGAAAGGAGAGGAGUUCAACAAUUUUUAUGAAUUUCUAAUCCAACCUCAUCAUCCUAUGGGAAACAGAAGACCACCAAGAACAGCCAGCUGGUAUCUUGGCAGUAACCUCCUCCAUAUAUUUCCUUGGCCCUCAGCUUACAUCUAGCAAAAUGACUCUACUGGUUCCAGGCUUCACAUGCAUACAACAUGGUGUUGGAGGAACAGAGAUGUUUUCUCUUCCUGGUGUUUUCCCAGACAUUUCUUAGCUGGCAUUUCAAACAAGGGUCCUGAAAUUCACCCUGGUUGGGUCGUGUUCUCCCCUUCCCAUUCCCCAUCCCCACCCUCAACCGAAAAAUGAUGUAAGCAGGGGAAAUUGAAUGUACCAAUGUUUGUUUUUAAACAAGCCACAGACCCCUCCCCAACUCCCCGACUGAAGCUUGAAGUGGGAUCAGCUUUCCCUAAAGUACUUGAGCUUAUGGUAAAGCAUAUAUGUUAUCCAAGUUAAAGUCUGGACGCUGUUAGUAAUGGGAAGGCAAGUAAUGAAUGUUAGCUAUGGAGCCAACAGACAGUGUCCACUCCAUUGUCUUUAAGGCCCAACUAAAGAUAACCUCUUUACCAAUGUCGGUUUAUUUAUUCAUUUAUUUAUUCAUUGAGAUGGAGUCUCACUCUCUCACCCAAGCUGGAGUGCAGUGGAAUGAUCUCAGCUGACUGCAAUUUCUGCCUCCCAGGUUCAAGCAAUCUCCUGCUUCAGCCUCCCAAGUAGCUGGGAUUACAGGCGCACACCACCAUGCCCGGCUAAUUUUUGUAUUUUUAGUAGAGAUAGGGUUUCACCAUGUUGGCCAAGCUGGUCUCGGACACCUGACCUCAAGUGAUCUGCCUGCCUCGGCCCCCAAAGGUGUGAGCCACUGCACCUGGCUACAAUGUCAGUUUCUAUAAAAACUGCCUUGACUUGUUUUGUUUGCUUGUUUUGUUUGUUUGUGUUUUAAUUUUUAUUAUUUUUUUUUAGAGACAGGGUCUCAAUCUGUUGUCUAGGCUUGAGUGCAGUGGUGCAAUCAUAGCUCACUGAAGUGUUGGACUCCCAGGCUCAAGCAGUCCUCCCACCUCAGCCUCCCAAGUAGCUGAGACUACAGGCAUGCACCACCCUGUCUGGCUAAUUUUUUAUUUUUAGUAGAGAUGAGGUCUCACUAUGUUGCCCAAGGUGGCCUCAAACUCCUGGCCUCAAGUACUCCUGUGGCCUUAGCCUCCCAAAGCUCUGGGAUUGCAGGUAUGAGCCGCCAUGCCUGGCCUACUGUAUAUUUUAUGCAUUUGAUAUAAGUCUUGCCUCCCUAAGUAUAUUACAAGUCCCUUGAAGUUAAAGACAUUAGAUUCCUACUCAGUGCUGAGCUGCAACAGAGAGCACUCAAUGAUGGAUAAAAUAGUUUUAGCAUGCAUUCAGCGAUAUAUAUUUAGAAAGUGGAACUAGGUGGUUGAAAAAAGUGUAUAGAUGGGUGGAAGGGAAUAUUACAGCUCUUAGAAUUGUCCUAAGGUGAGAGUAACAAAUUAAGCAAUGAGUCCCUGGGUUCACUCAAGCAACUUCACUCUCUAAAACAAGAGCCCACAGAAUCCCAUUUCUGCUUUCAGAAUGAGUUUGAGGCCAAUAUUAUUUCCAUUUUUUUUCUUUUUCUUUCUUUCUUUUUUUUUUUUUUUUUUUUGAGACGGAGUUUCACUCUUGUUGCCCAGGCUGUUUUGAUCUCGGCUCACUGCAACCUCUGCCCCUGGGUUCAAGCGAUUCUCCUGUCUCAACCUCCCAAGCUGGGAUUACAAGCAUGCGCUACCACACCUGGCUAAUUUUGUAUUUUUAAUAGAGACGGGGUUUCUCUGUGUUGGUCAGGCUGGUCUCAAACUCCCAACCUCAGGUGAUCUGCCCACCUUGGCCCAGCCUCCAAUAUGAUUUUCUAAUAGCUGUGUUUGAUGAUUAUAUUUAUUCCUCCAUCAGUAGCUUUUUUAGCCUUGAAAAUAUCUAUUUAAGUUUCUUAUUUCCUUUGGAUCUAUCAAAGUGUUUUUCCCCAAGUGGCACCUGGGAAAACAUAUUCUAUUCAUUUAUUUUAUAACUGUUCCCUUGACCUCUUUAUUGCUUCCCUAUUACAACCCAAGAUGCUCUUGUAAACCUGACUUAAUAUUGGCAGUCUUCAUCCCUUGCAAAUGGAAGUGAUGACAGACCCAAUACUUUGUGUAAAAAUAUUUUGCUAUUUCUAUACAAAAUAUUUUAUUAAUGGAAACCACAUGUUAUGUAUUUUACAUAUGUUAUGACUUGAAAUUUAUGUUAUGACUUGAAAUUGGGGAAUCUGAUAUGUCUCUAAUAAUAAAG
rnacentral:lncRNA from 1 species